rnacentral:snoRNA from 1 species
GGGCGACGCAUGAUGAACCAUUUACGGAUGUAAAAUGCCCUACGGGGCUAGCUUGUCCGAGAGCGCAUAACCCCAUGUGGAUGCUUCCGUUGCCUUCCUUCUGAUUCCGCC